rnacentral:tRNA from 2 species
GUGGGUGUAGCUCAGUUGGUUAGAGCGUCGGAUUGUGGCUCCGAAAGUCGGGGGUUCAAGUCCCCUCACUCACC